rnacentral:rRNA from 1 species
AAAUUGAAGAGUUUGAUCAUGGCUCAGAUUGAACGCUGGCGGCAGGCCUAACACAUGCAAGUCGAACGGUAACAGGAAGCAGCUUGCUGCUUCGCUGACGAGUGGCGGACGGGUGAGUAAUGUCUGGGAAACUGCCUGAUGGAGGGGGAUAACUACUGGAAACGGUAGCUAAUACCGCAUAAUGUCGCAAGACCAAAGAGGGGGACCUUCGGGCCUCUUGCCAUCGGAUGUGCCCAGAUGGGAUUAGCUUGUUGGUGGGGUAACGGCUCACCAAGGCGACGAUCCCUAGCUGGUCUGAGAGGAUGACCAGCCACACUGGAACUGAGACACGGUCCAGACUCCUACG